UCGCGGCGGUGCGCGCAGAAGGGUCUGGGCUCGAGCCUGCCUGGAGCCGCCGCCGGUGCAGAUCUUGGUGGUAGUAGCAAAUACUCCAGCGAGGCCCUGGAGGACUGAUGUGGAGAAGGGUUUCGUGUGAACAGCCGUUGCACACGAGUCAGUCGAUCCUAAGCCCUAGGAGAAAUCCGAUGCAAACGGCGAUGGGAAACGCACUGAUUCGAAAGACAGAGACCCAUUGAUCGGGCGAAAGGGAAUCCGGUUCCUAUUCCGGAACCCGGCAGCGGAACCGUUGUUUGUCGGGCCCUCGCAAGGGGUUCGUCAGGGCAACCUAAAAGGGCCCGGAGACGCCGUCGGGGGCCCCGGAAAGAGUUUUCUUUUCUGCAUGAGCGUUCGAGUUCCCUGGAAUCCUCUCGCAGGGAGAUAGGGUUUGGAACGCGAAGAGCACCGCAGUUGCGGCGGUGCGCGGGAAUUCCCGACGGACCUUGAAAAUCCGGGAGAGGGCCACGUGGAGGUGUCGCGCCGGCUCGUACCCAUAUCCGCAGCAGGUCUCCAGGUGAAGAGCCUCUAGUC
rnacentral:rRNA from 1 species